ACGAUGACAGAAGUAAAACCACAUCCCCUAUACAACACCAUUAAAUUCCCCAUUCGAUUAAGGCUUCUGUUCAAAUUGUCUAUGAUGUGGGAGGGAUGGCCAAUGAUUAUUUUGACUCCUGAAAUCUCACACAACAUUACAAUAAGAGAAUAUCACCUAAUUAACCCUCCUUACUUGAACCACAACUAACAAAUUGAUUGCAAAUCGAGGUAGCUGGAAAAAUAAAAAGAAAUUACAAAGAUAUCACUACUUAUCUGAUAAGUGAAUUCAAGAUUCUCUGACUUAAUAAGGUGGUCUGAAGCUCCCUACCUUGAAGAUACUUGAAGAACACUCUU
rnacentral:lncRNA from 1 species